CUGGAUGAACGCUAGCUACAGGCUUAACACAUGCAAGUCGAGGGGCAGCAUUUUAGUUUGCUUGCAAACUGAAGAUGGCGACCGGCGCACGGGUGAGUAACACGUAUCCAACCUGCCGAUAACUCCGGAAUAGCCUUUCGAAAGAAAGAUUAAUACCGGAUAGCAUACGAAUAUCGCAUGAUAUUUUUAUUAAAGAAUUUCGGUUAUCGAUGGGGAUGCGUUCCAUUAGUUUGUUGGCGGGGUAACGGCCCACCAAGACUACGAUGGAUAGGGGUUCUGAGAGGAAGGUCCCCCACAUUGGAACUGAGACACGGUCCAAACUCCUACGGGAGGCAGCAGUGAGGAAUAUUGGUCAAUGGGCGAGAGCCUGAACCAGCCAAGUAGCGUGAAGGAUGAAGGCUCUAUGGGUCGUAAACUUCUUUUAUAUGGGAAUAAAGUUUUCCACGUGUGGAAUUUUGUAUGUACCAUAUGAAUAAGGAUCGGCUAACUCCGUGCCAGCAGCCGCGGUAAUACGGAGGAUCCGAGCGUUAUCCGGAUUUAUUGGGUUUAAAGGGAGCGUAGGUGGAUUGUUAAGUCAGUUGUGAAAGUUUGCGGCUCAACCGUAAAAUUGCAGUUGAAACUGGCAGUCUUGAGUACAGUAGAGGUGGGCGGAAUUCGUGGUGUAGCGGUGAAAUGCUUAGAUAUCACGAAGAACUCCGAUUGCGAAGGCAGCUCACUAGACUGUCACUGACACUGAUGCUCGAAAGUGUGGGUAUCAAACAGGAUUAGAUACCCUGGUAGUCCACACAGUAAACGAUGAAUACUCGCUGUUUGCGAUAUACAGUAAGCGGCCAAGCGAAAGCAUUAAGUAUUCCACCUGGGGAGUACGCCGGCAACGGUGAAACUCAAAGGAAUUGACGGGGGCCCGCACAAGCGGAGGAACAUGUGGUUUAAUUCGAUGAUACGCGAGGAACCUUACCCGGGCUUAAAUUGCAACAGAAUAUAUUGGAAACAGUAUAGCCGUAAGGCUGUUGUGAAGGUGCUGCAUGGUUGUCGUCAGCUCGUGCCGUGAGGUGUCGGCUUAAGUGCCAUAACGAGCGCAACCCUUAUCUUUAGUUACUAACAGGUCAUGCUGAGGACUCUAGAGAGACUGCCGUCGUAAGAUGUGAGGAAGGUGGGGAUGACGUCAAAUCAGCACGGCCCUUACGUCCGGGGCUACACACGUGUUACAAUGGGGGGUACAGAAGGCGGCUACCUGGUGACAGGAUGCUAAUCCCAAAAACCUCUCUCAGUUCGGAUCGAAGUCUGCAACCCGACUUCGUGAAGCUGGAUUCGCUAGUAAUCGCGCAUCAGCCAUGGCGCGGUGAAUACGUUCCCGGGCCUUGUACACACCGCCCGUCAAGCCAUGAAAGCCGGGGGUACCUGAAGUACGUAACCGCAAGGAGCGUCCUAGGGUAAAACUGGUA
rnacentral:rRNA from 1 species